rnacentral:rRNA from 1 species
UACGGGGGGGGCAAGCGUUGUUCGGAAUUACUGGGCGUAAAGCGUGCGUAGACGGUUACAUAAGUCGGGUGUGAAAGCCCCGGGCUCAACCUGGGAAUUGCAUUCGAGACUGCGUAGCUAGGGUGCGGAAGAGGGAAGCGGAAUUUCCGGUGUAGCGGUGAAAUGCGUAGAUAUCGGAAGGAACACCAGUGGCGAAAGCGGCUUCCUGGUCCAGCACCGACGUUCAGGCACGAAAGCGUGGGGAGCAAACAGG